rnacentral:rRNA from 1 species
AUUGAACGCUGGCGGCAGGCCUAACACAUGCAAGUCGAGCGAGCGGCGGACGGGGGAGUAAUGUAUGGGGACUGCCCGCGAGAGGGGGGUAACUACUGGAAACGGUGGAUAAUACAGCAUACUAUCGGAUAACCCAUAUGGGAUUGGCUAGUAGGUGAGGUAAUGGCUCACCUCGGCGACGAUCCCUAGCUGGUCUGAGAGGAUGAUCAGCCACACUGGUACUGAGACACGGCCCAGACUCCUACGGAGGCAGCAGUGGGGAAUAUUGCACAAUGGGCGCAAGCCUGAUGCAGCCAUGCCGCGUGUAUGAAGAAGGCCCUCGGGUUGUAAAGUACUUUCAGUCGGGAGGCGUUACCGACAGAAGAAGCACCGGCUAACUCCGUGCCAGCAGCCGCGGUAAUUC